GGGGGUGUAGCUCAGUCCGGCAGAGCACUACGUUCGCAACGUAGGGGCCACGGGUUCAAAUCCCGUCACCUCCACCG
rnacentral:tRNA from 1 species